ACUUAUUGGGGUGUUACCAUUUAGUGGUCAAUUGUACGGAAUAUGUACUUGUGGAGAGGUGGAGCUGACAGGCCGACGUAGCGUAGCUGCCCAAGAUGGCGACAAGGAGGCGGAGAAUACGAGCGAGCGGCGAGGCGGGGGCGACGCAGCAAGCGAGAUCAGGUCCGUGGAUCGCACACCGGGUAACAAUUAAUGUAUCUCCUAAAGAUGUGUAAAAGGGGAGGAGGAGGACAGGACGAGGCAGAAGGAGUGGAUGAAGAGCGGAAACGUGUCACAAUUAUUUGUUGACGAACCCCAAGAUGCAGAGAAGGAGGCAGGAAUUUGAUGGCGUUCGUUUCUGCUAUUUGUGGAACCUCGGUGCCGUGCCAGCUUUUCUUCUUGUCAACAGUGCUGUGUGAGCGUGUGGGGUGGGGAUUGAACCUGAACCCGAUUCAAUUCAGAAUGGAUUUCCUUUCUUGCAAAGUAUUAUUCGUUCCAAGAAAAUAGGAUGAGACUUUUUCAAAACAGGCUGCAGGUGAAGAAAAGCGCCUGGAGAUGGCCUAAAAACCCAUAUAAAUAUAUAUGGAUGUAAACAAGUUGAAAAACUUAUUGGGGUGUUACCAAUUAGUGGUCAAUUGUAGGGAAAUGUACUGUACUGUGCAAUCUACUAAUAAAAGUUUCAAUCAAUCAA